rnacentral:rRNA from 1 species
UGAUGCCCAGCUUGCUGGGUGGAUUAGUGGCGAACGGGUGAGUAAUACGUGAGUAACCUGCCCUUGACUCUGGGAUAAGCCUGGGAAACCGGGUCUAAUACUGGAUACUACUUCCUGCCGCAUGGUGGGUGGUGGAAAGGGUUUUACUGGUUUUGGAUGGGCUCACGGCCUAUCAGCUUGUUGGUGGGGUAAUGGCUCACCAAGGCGACGACGGGUAGCCGGCCUGAGAGGGUGACCGGCCACACUGGGACUGAGACACGGCCCAGACUCCUACGGGAGGCAGCAGUGGGGAAUAUUGCACAAUGGGCGGAAGCCUGAUGCAGCGACGCCGCGUGAGGGAUGACGGCCUUCGGGUUGUAAACCUCUUUCAGUAGGGAAGAAGCGCAAGUGACGGUACCUGCAGAAGAAGCGCCGGCUAACUACGUGCCAGCAGCCGCGGUAAUACGUAGGGCGCAAGCGUUGUCCGGAAUUAUUGGGCGUAAAGAGCUCGUAGGCGGUUUGUCGCGUCUGCUGUGAAAGCCCGGGGCUCAACCCCGGGUCUGCAGUGGGUACGGGCAGACUAGAGUGCAGUAGGGGAGACUGGAAUUCCUGGUGUAGCGGUGAAAUGCGCAGAUAUCAGGAGGAACACCGAUGGCGAAGGCAGGUCUCUGGGCUGUUACUGACGCUGAGGAGCGAAAGCAUGGGGAGCGAACAGGAUUAGAUACCCUGGUAGUCCAUGCCGUAAACGUUGGGCACUAGGUGUGGGGGACAUUCCACGUUUUCCGCGCCGUAGCUAACGCAUUA